UAUCUUCAGGGCAGGGUGAAAGUCCCUACCGGCGGUACAGCCCGCGAGCCGAAAGGCAUGAUCCAGUGAGAUUCCGGAGCCGACAGUAUAGUCUGGAUGGGAGAAGAUA
rnacentral:ncRNA from 1 species